GUGUGAGUUCGUUGCGUAGAUGAGCUUGGCGUGACCUUUUCAAUCUCAGUCCUUUUUGAUGUUCUUCUCUAAGUGGAAAUACAGUACUGGACUGGAGAGUGUGCGUAACAGAUGUUUUGUUCAGAGAAAGACAGAGGGUGUGUGUAUGUGCGUGUGUGAAUUUUUGCUUGCGUAUGGAUGUGUAUAUACAGGUGUUUUACUGUGUGUUAACAUCCAUUCAGAACACUUCCAUACACUCUUCACACUGUAGCGUGUCUAGUUCUAAAUACAAAAGGAAGCGGAUCUAGACAUUCAGUGAUGUAAUUGAAGUAUUUUAAGUAUAUGUCUAAUGGUAUGUUCUCACUGCAGUAUACUUAGCAGCUGAAGAUUUUUCAGAUUAAAAAAAAACUGAGAAGGGUGGAGAGUGACAGGAAGAAAGAGCAGGUGAGGAAACAAUGACACAGAGGUGAGUGGAGUGCUAAGAGAGGCUGACGCUUACAAAGAAGAGGAACAAAGGAGUGAAAACAGCGGCUGAGGGAGAUUUGAACUGUCUUUUGCGCAAGAUGAUGGUGAAAGUGCUACUUGUUGUCAUGGUGAUACUGACGGGUGGUCUAAGCUCCGCUCUACCUCUGGAAGCUGAAAGUACAGACUGCAGAGAGUGUCCAGCAGGACAAUACUUGUUAAGUUGUCAUGAGUGUUCUUCAUGUACUGAAGGUUCCUACACAAGCCAGGUGAACAGAGAGAGCACAUGCCAUCCCUGCUUCAAGAACUGCGUGGCAGCGUUUCACAUGCAGGUGGUGAAGGCAUGCAGCAAUGCCUCUGAUGUGGUGUGCCGCUGUAUGGACGGCUUUUUCUGCAGUGAGAAAGAUCGCUACACAGACCACUGCAUCCAGUGUGAACCAAUUCAAACUUCAACCUCACACUCAACUACAGCAUCAACCACUCUGCUGAGUUCUAAACCUAUGCCUAACCCGACCCCGACUCCAUUUGCAGGUAUGACAGACAUUUGGAUUUUAAUUGUUGUGCUACUGAGUGUGCUACUUAUCAUCUUCAUCACACUGCAUCUCUGCCGGCAAUAUAAAAAGGAGUGCCUGAAGAAAUUGGUGAAGCGAUGCUCACCCGGUAGUCAAAAGUUACAGGGGGACAUUGUUACUACAUCUUCUCAAAGAAGUGAGCCGAUCAAACACAUCCAUGCAGAGGAGGUGCACCCACACACAGCUGCAUCCACCUACAGCACCUCAGACUGCCCGACUCCUCAGCCGGUCAGCACAGAGCCGCCUCUACCUGCUGCUGGAAACCUGGGUCCUCUCCACAUAUAUGGUGCAAACACUGUGUUUGUUAGUUUGCUGAACCAGUUUGGACAGAACGCAGGAGAGAAGGAUGACGAGGAUGUCCACCAGCAGAGUUUAAGCGAGAGUGAUAUGCACUGUCCUACUCCACUUCCUCUGUCCACAGAGGAAAGGAACAGAGACAGCAGUUACAUCUCUUUUCCCUCUCAAGAGCAAGGGAAAGAAUGCCACAUGUCCAAAGAAGAAGGAUUGUAAUGGAAGUUUUAGUCCUUUCAGUUUGCUAUACAGGUGCUUUGUGAUUUAUGAGGACUCUACACCACAACUUUGGCUGUGUGCGUCUGCGUAAAGCAGAGCGGCAUGUCCAAAGAUUGGUACACACUCAUAAUGUCACCCCGCUCCAUAGCUGAUCUGAACCUGUCGGCCUGGAUCCCGUCAAAAGGCAGCAUGAAACAGCUGGCAUUUGCAGAUGUGCACACAUUUAUGAAUGUGUGUGUGAGUGUGUAAACAUGUUUCCACACGUGUAUGUGUGAAGAUGUGGAUGAGGCCUUGGCGUUUGUUUCAGUCAUGCUGUUCACAAUCGUAGAUGAAGAUGAUGAAUCUCCAGAAGGCCUGGAUACAGGGCAUAUGGGUGGUAUUGGUUGGUUUUUGGAUGUCUCACAAAAACAUGUUUGAUUGCACAGCGUUUUAAGUGGGUGUCAAACAAAAAACAUGUUAAUUAGCAUUUUAGAUCCUGAAUGAUAUAAUAAUUUGCAGAUGAAAUCUGAUCAUUGGUUUCUCAAUAAAAUUCUGAUUACAAGUAGCUUAUUACAAUGGCAAUGGACACACUGUUUGAAUAUGAGGAAAAUCUAAUUGACCAUUUGUAAAAGUUCCACACCCCUCAGUUACUGUUUAGUUCAUCAAACUGAACAGUUCAGACAGACAAAAAAGCUCAGUAGCACAAAGGAAAAUAUAGACGCACCCAUAGGACUGCAUCUGAAAACAAUUUGCCAUUCAGAAAACGACUUUAUAGGGUGUUCACUAGAUAUAUGCUUGAGGGUUGACAAUAUGAAUGUAUGGCACUUGAAAAAAUAAUAAAAAGGUUCUGGAAACCAUCCUUGCAUUAAUUAAACCAAGUAAAUCUGAAGGUUUCCAUGUCUGAUCUGCACUGGUUCAGGGUAAAAUAGCUAAAAGGGCUACUGCUAAAGCUAAUGCUGCAGCCAGUCAGAGCAAUGAUACAUGCUACAAACAAUAAACGUGAUGUGUGCAAACACAUUAACCCUUUACAUGGCCAUGUCCUGCUGGUGGGCCCAAAGUUUUAUUAUACAAUUCUUUAACCUAAGAACAGAUUUUAAGGGGUGAAUAUUUAUGGUAAAUUGUAAAUGUGUUUACAAUGAGGUCCCGUCUUGUUUAACCUGACUGAUUUCUCAAGCUAACUUUCAGCAGUUAAGAAAAGUGCACUAGUUUGCUAGUUAAUAUUUGCAUUAGACUUCAUAUGAAAAUGCGUAUUAAUAAUAACCCAGGUAAGGUUUGUCUUACCUUAGAGCUGGCAUAAUACUACCUGUUAUUAGUUUUAAUGUUGAGCUGUGAGUGUAGCACUUCAUAAGAGUUUAAUCCCAAAACCUUUUCAUGAAUAAACAGCACCACCCUCUACAUCAGUGAUCACCAACCAUGGCCCUGAGAAUAUACCUUCCUGCAGAAUUUUGUUACAAUCUGCCACACCUGUGUUUUGUCAUGUGUCGUAAGUAUUUUUUAAUUUGUCAGUUUUUGCUGUUUUUUAGAAUUUUAUUUUAUUUAUUUAUUUAUUGCUGUAUAUUUUGGGUUAUCUGAAUUUUAGCCCCUUAAAGCUCAUAUUUUAACAGCAGAAAUUGAUAAUAUAUGUGUGAUUACAGAAACACAAACCUGGAAUUCCUAUGCUUUCCAAGCCUUUUUACAUUCACAAAGCUAGCUUGCAGUUAAAAAAUCAGAGCUUAAACCAGGGAGAUCUUCCUCAGAAGCAAUCAAGUCAAAUCCUUUAAUCUAAGAAAAAGCAGCCCAGUGUAUCCAGGUUUCUAGAGGUUGCCCUGUUGUUCAGUCUGGUACCUGUACCUUCUGCAUCCCCAAGCCUAUUCAAGCCUUAUUCAGACUCACGUGAGAUUACAGAAUUGAGGUGCUGCUUCCUGCAAAUGUAGUAGAAGUAUUUAUUUGAUGCCUUGCACUGUGCAGUUAUUAGUAAAGAGAGCACCAAAAUGUGGUCUAUGUAACUCUUUUUAGAGUAUUUUAUAAGUAGUUUUUGUUUUCAGUUUUAUUUUCAGUACAGUAUUACAUUGUCACCGUCAGAACAAAACCUCAUAUCUCCAAAAACAGUGACUGUACAGGAGAAGGAAAAACAUAUAUUUUAUAUUACAUAUUCUUAUAUUAUAGUGUAAGUUAAUGUAACGAUUUUAUUACAGGUUGGUAAUAAAUGGUCAUUUUGGACUAUUUCUGUUGAUGUAUUCAUCAGAAUGUUUACACAAUGUAAAGUGCAGCUAGUGUUUUUUUAAGCUGUGGAAAAAAAAAUUAAAAAUGGAUCACAUGAUUUUUAUCUGACAGUGACAACAUUGUAAUGUCCAAUUAUUAUUUCAUUUUAUGUUUUAUGUUUCAUUUUAUCAUCUUUCAUCCUCUUGUUAUUUCACAGAAAACAGAAGCUAUUCUGAAAUAGUUUCUCUGGCCCAUAUGAUCCAACUCGUGUAUGUAUUAUUAAUAUUAAUGUGCAAUAGAAAUAAGGACAUGCUUUAUUUCAAUCAUGUUUUUAUGUGGUUUUAUAAGAAGCAAUGCGAAUAAAAUGUUUGUAAUUUUACACAAGAAAAAUUAAUACAGGUGUUCAGAGUACAAAAACGAAAUGAAAGUUAGGAUUAUUUAUGAAGAAAUCAUUCUCAGCAUUUAACAGCAUGUCACAGUGGGGAGCCUGAAGCGGUUCAGUGUAAAUACAGCUUUCUUUUCAUUUAGGCAUUCCAAAAACUUUCCAAUAGUAUCUGAAGCUAAGGUUUAGGCAGGAUUAAAACACGAAAAUCAUUCAUCAUAAAACUGAGAAACAGACAGGCUAGAGCCUGUACUAGAAUAGCUGUAACUAGGAAUCAAGAAGCAUGACUAAAAAUGCAGCAAACAUAAAUGAAAAUUUUUAAAAUGACACAGAGUAGACUUUUUAGAUGCUGAUGGCACCACCCUGAUCACAGGCUGACUAUAAUUACUUCGGUACCUCUGUGGUGCACUAUAUAGGGAGUUUGGAGCCAUCAGAGAUUAAUAGGCACAAACAGUGGGCUGAGGAUUAGUAACCUUCAACUACCAAUAUUCUCACAUCACUUUGAAACUGCAUUGCACAGUGGAUAUUGUACAUACUGUAGAAAGAAUUACAUUUCAUAUAGAUUUCAUGCAUAGCAUCAUUUUAUCCUUAUACUUUCAUGCAUAGCAUGAAAUCGUCUCUGCAGUCUGGUUUGGGUCGUUUCACUCCAUCUUUUUUGUUGUUGUUGUCCUGGGAAACCCCCCACCCAUAUUCUCAUCUGGGUGGUUGGCUGCUAAAAAAAAACAUUUGACACCACUGAAUGUUUUACAAAAAGGUUAAACAUUUCUGAGUUUUGAAGGCACUGACCAGCCAGAACAGCAAAACUGCAGAGCUUUUUAAAGAGUGAAUGUUUGACUGUGUAUGAACACAGCAUUGUUUUUAUUCGCCCACUUUUCUCUCUAUCUGUAGUCAACAUUAAUUAUCAUCUAAUUUCUUACAUUUUCAUGCUAGAAUUUAAUAAAAUAAAAAUUAUGCUGCAUAUCCAUUUAUAUUUUGAAUUUAGAUUUGGAUGAGGUUUCAAAAAAAUUAACAGUUGAAGCACUGAUAUUUCUUUUAUGUGUAAAAAUGAAAAAAGGAAUAAAAAGCCUACAAGCCCCAGAAUGAAGAACAUCAAAACUGAAGAAUUCUCAAAAUUAGGGACCACUUUCAGGAUUUUUUUUUUAAUUAUAUUUGCUGUUGAGAGUGGCCUUUUUCCCCCCAUAUAAGAAUAUCAGUGCUAUAUUAUAUAGACUAAUACCGCCUUUAUUAGAGAAAUUAUACACUGUUCAUUAAAUUUCUCAAAAAGUCAUUACAGCAUCUUGGAAUAAAGCUCUUCAAAUCCAGACUUUGAGCUCCCAGAAAAAACAACAAAAGCAUCUAUUUGUUACCCUUAUAAAAUCUUAUUAAAAUGUCUUACUCAUACACAUGUACAUGUGUAUCUGUAUGUGUGUGCAGUCAAACUCCCUUAAUGAAGAAUGGAUCACAGCCUUUCUCCUUGUUCCUUCCCUCUGAAGAUCACAAUAGAGAGACUGCAUGUGUGUCUCUCACUCUGUUCAUGAGUGCAUGUUACAGUUCAUACUCCACCCACACUCUCAUGUGGAAUCUGUUGCCUCCCUCUCUGCUCAUCCAUCCAUCUCUCUCAGACUUCUUCCUGCCACUCCGUCUUUCCUCCACACACCUCCUGGACCGGCAUUGGCACCUCCUCCUCUUCCGUGCACUGGCUGGAUUCCACUGAGCUCUUCUCGGCGGUCCAAAAACAGCAAACUGUGGGGAAAUCAAGCAGUUGGGUUCAAUCAUGAAACAUUAUCUGACUCUGAGACCAUACUGAAAC
ensembl:lncRNA